UUGGAGGGCAAGUCUGGUGCCAGCAGCCGCGGUAAUUCCAGCUCCAAUAGCGUAUAUUAAUGUUGUUGCAGUUAAAAAGCUCGUAGUUGAAUUUCGGGAUCAGUAUGUUGGUCGUGCUUCGGUACGUACUGUCAUUACUGGUUUCUACCUUCUGAAGAACCUUGAUGUCAUUAAUUUGGUGUCUUGGGGAAUCAGGACUGUUACUUUGAAAAAAUUAGAGUGUUUAAAGCAAGCAUACGCUUGAAUACAUUAGCAUGGAAUAAUGAAAUAGGACGUUUGAUUCUAUUUUGUUGGUUUCUAGGAUCGACGUAAUGAUUAAUAGGGAUAGUUGGGGGCAUUAGUAUUCAAUUGUCAGAGGUGAAAUUCUUGGAUUUAUUGAAGACUAACUACUGCGAAAGCAUUUGCCAAGGAUGUUUUCAUUAAUCAAGAACGAAAGUUAGGGGAUCGAAGACGAUCAGAUACCGUCGUAGUCUUAACCAUAAACUAUGCCGACUAGGGAUCGGAUGAUGUUAUUUUUAAUGACUCAUUCGGCGCCUUACGGGAAACCAAAGUGUUUGGGUUC
rnacentral:rRNA from 1 species